rnacentral:lncRNA from 1 species
UUUGCUUGCAGAGAAAGGUCCCCAAGUCCCCAGAGAACUGCGUCGUCUCCCUCAAUGCGCGCGCGCGCGCACACACACACACACACACAAGCGCGCACAAAAGUUGAGGCCAUCACAUCUGCCUUCCCCAGAUGGGGUUCCCUGCGCAAAAGCCUCCUCCCACUCCAGGAUUUUCCGACACUGGCGCAAGCUCCUCCCUUGCCAGAGCCUGGCUCCAGUCCUAGCACCGAGAGCCCGCCCGAGCAGAGGCUGGGGGGCGGCGGGGAGUGGGCCCCGCUCGCCGCCAUUGGCUGUGCGGCUGUGGGGCGGAGGGAAGCCUCCCGCUGCGCCCGCCGCCCGCCGGUGCGCCCCAGCCGCGCGCAGCACCGGUGCGCUCCACCAUUCCCGCCGACCGCUUCUCCUGCGCAGGUCGGCGAGACGCGGGGCGUCCGCGAGGAGCUCGACGCAGCCCCGUCCCAGCCCGAGCUCGGGAGCCGGCGAGGGACAUCCGCGCCCCCCGAUCCGCAGGUGCUUUUCACUUUAGAUUUUACAGAUUCACUGUCAAGACAGUUGCUUAUCAACAGGAAAAGAGGCAAAAUAAGUGAUAGCCUUUUCUUCAAAGGUUUACCCCCUAAUGCAUUAAGCCCAAUACAUCCUCCUUAAAAAGACAAAAAAGGCAAAGCGCUUUGAAGAGCUCACCCUUAUGGUUCUCUAAAGAAGCCUCACUGAAG